UCCAGUCCAGCAUUUUAAUGCUGUCCCAGCCCAAAGCUACAGUGUAACAGAUCUAAAACAUGGCCUACAAAAACAAAAUUUCCUGCUUUUAUUGUUUUAAAGUGGUCAUUAAUGAAACUUAUGUGUUCUUCCUGUGGCAAUACGUUGCAUAGGUAGCAGCAAGCUUCCUGUCUGAUUUAUUAUGGCUUUUAAACAAAAUGCAGCCUGAAGGGAGGGGUGAUUGCUGGCCCCGCUGUGGGUCUCCAUCUCCCAAAAGACUUUUCUCCAUCCCCGCCUCCAGGUGGUAGAGCACGGUGCUGGGCAAUGAGUGCAUUCAGCUGCCCUUAAGUGAGAGUGAGAGGCCGAUCCCAUGCCGGGAUGUUUAACGCCAACAGAGUGCAGGAGGGUUUCACACAAGAUAUAGUGCAUUUCUCAGGCGAUUAAACAUCACCCUGCUGCAGAAGGCGUCAAGAGUAUAUAUAUGUAGGACUUCUGUUGGCAUCGGCACAUGUUAAAUGCAUGAAGGAAUCCCUCCGUGAGAAUGCUCUGGCAAUUACUACGCACAAACACUCAAGGGGCCCCGUGCUCCCAUUUAGUGUGCUAAUGACCUCUUCUUAUCUCAUGGAAUCUAAUCUGACUGCACAACCAGGGGUCUGACCUCGUGGCAUCACAUACAAGAACACCACAGACUCUCACAGAUGCAUUAGGCACACUGAAGGAGCUCAGUCCUCACGUAUAGCAGAAAACAAGCACAGCACACAUAAAACAACAUAUUUUUAACACCCAUUCAUUCAGCAGAGCCAUCGCUGGCUGCUGACUCAGGUUUAUUUAUAGUCAUUUUCAGGCUGGUACUCGCCAAAGUGCUGGCAGACUUUGUGCCCCCUACUAAGUAUCAGACCUGUUAAACAGCUUUUAAGCGCAAUUUGCUUAGAUGACAAUACACUCCUUCCUCGCGGGACACAUGCUGUCCCCACAUGAUUCAAAUUAGUCGGGGCACCGUAGAGGUGUUGUGCUCAUGUGUAAGUAAUGAACGCCUGUGUACACGAAUGUCUGUGUACGCCUGUGUGCAUGUGCUGCUUGAGUGUGCGUUGAGGGUGUAGGCGGGUGUUAAUUGCAAACACCUGAAGCUCGUAAGCAGAGCUGCAUUUAGUGACAGUUUGACUUAACAACGGCUGGCCGUGCUGUAUCUGUGAGCACACAGAGGAGGCCCAGUGCUGCUGCCUUUAGGAGGACGCUGGAGAGGAACAUCUUUCAACUAAAAAGUGUCAACCAACAGUUCUGCAUCAUCCUUUCCAACGCUGCUGCACAGCUGCUGCCCCCUGUUGGGCUCCUGGCCUCAUGCUUAGUGAAAGGUGAGCACCCUGAUGUGGAGGGCAUGGGCACGGACUUAAUGGCAGAAAUGCCACUCAUGCAGUGUGGUAGUUUGUGUCUCACACGCAUACAAGCAGAAAUACCUUGGCCUGUGAUCCUGGUGGUAAGAGAAUCAAGUUUCAAGCAGCGAGAGUUGGUACCAAAGGGGAGAAGAUGGUCUUAUCUUACAGUGUCGCAUUAAGAGAGAGAGAGGAGCCCCCCCCUUCCUGUCGGCCCCUCAAAGGCUCGGAGACAGAAACUCAGACUUGCACCACACACGCAGCCACAUGGGACCACGACGUGAAGCGCAAACUCUCGUCCAAGGACGCAGACAAAUACGCGAUACUUUUCAUUAAAACGUGCAAAAAGAAGAAGAAAAGCAUUUAUUUUCUGGAAAUCCCUCCUUAGAAAUAAACACAUUUUUAUAGAGAAAUGUUAACAAGUCUGUGUUGAGCAAUCAAAUCGCUGAGACGUGGAAAAAAAUAGAUGUCCACAAGCAUUCUAUUGCAUCAAAGCCGCAAUAAACAAAAUAGCCUUUUGUUUCGACAAAAACAAACCACCACAUCUAGAGGACUUUAAAUAGACUCCUGAAGAGUUGCUAUGGAUCGUAUCAGUGCCAAAACCACUCGAUUACGCAGCAGUUUACGAGAUUUAUAGGAAAACGAGGGGGCAACGUGACACAAUAAUAAGAUCUAAUGGAGUAAAAACAUCUCCUAUGCAUUUCUUACAAAGUGUGUGCUGCAUACGUCUGAUUUAAGAGUGCUUGGAGUGCAACUGCAUUCAAUAAAUCCAUAUAUAAUAAAUCUAAAACCUAAAUUAGCAGUAUCAGUAUCUCCUCUAACCCAGCAGACAGCACCAACAAGCUUUUCUCGGCAGAGCACGCUUCUGGAUGGAAAGCACAAAGUGUUGAAAGCGGGCCAGAAAUUCCACUUGUGAAUGCUUUCACCUGUUCUUAUUGUUGCACAGCUAUUCACGCCCAGAAACACUGAGAAAGAGAAGAACAACAACAACAAAAAGAAGAACCAUGCAAGGCAAUUUCAAAUCUGCAAUAAGCACCUUGAAAACUCUACUUCUGGCUUUACCUCUUUAUACAAGAAAGCAAGAAAAGAAAGUGUGUCCAAGCAGGGACUGUGGCCAGAUUCCACUUGAGUUGCAAGUUUAAGAAAAAGAAAAACAAAAAAACAAAA